ACUGUGAGAGUUGUGAGCCGAGGACCAGACUGCGAUAGUACUGAGCCGAGGAUAAGCUUGGUGCUAUGUCUUCUUCUUAGUUUUCUUGUCUCUUUUGAAGAUAAUUGAUUUAAUGAAUUAAUGUUUGAUUUACAAAGUUAUUUAUGGAUCAUUGUUUAUCAAUUGUUGUAAAAGAUUGAAGACGUAUGGAAGUUUCCAGUCACUGUUUAUCGCAAGGUUGUAAGUUUAGUGGAGAGGAAUUGUAAUCAAAGGAAUUGUCUU
rnacentral:lncRNA from 1 species